GUAACGUAGGCUAAUCGACAAGGAAUGCUUUUUACAUUUGAUUUUUUAAAAUACAAUCACGGUUUUGUUUCUAAAAUGCAAACUCAAGUUUUUUGUUUGCAAGUGAAAAUGUAUUAAGAAUGCUGUGCAAUGUGUUUUUGUCUUUGUUCUAGAAAAAAAACACUUUAGAAAGUUCUGAUGACGAAACAGACAUUGAGAUGAAGCGACAAUAUGAAAAAGCAAAAAGACAAAAAAAAGUUGCAAAAGAGAGGAUCCUCACUCAGUUGAAGGAUACACUGAGGAAACCACUCCACUCCACUCCAUGCAGAACCAAUCCAUUACAUAGUGAGGAGGAAGUUGAAUCCGAAACGGUGGACACAAACGUGGAUUUGUUCAAUUACCCAGGGAAUUCCCAAUCAACCAAACAAAAAAAGGUUGCAAUUGAGAGGGUCCCCACUCAGCUGAAGGAUACGCUGAGGAAACCACUCCACUCUGAUCCACGCAGAACCAAUCCAAUACAUAGUGAGGAGGAAGUUGAAUCCGAAACCGUGGACACAAAUGUGGAUUUGUUCGAUUACCCAGAGAAUUUUCAACCAACCGAUACCUUAGAUGCUGCUGAGGCAAGUGGAGAGAGCGUGGAACAGCCAUUAUUUGUCAGUGGUGAAGUGUUGAAAGCUUUGAAAGAAAUCUCAACUGUGGCAUUUGGCAUCUUGUUCCUACCCCACUUACGAUGUGUUUUUACACGUAUUACCUGUGGUGUGCAUCAGGAGUGGAACGGUACAUGUAUUCGUAUUGAACCAAUUUGGUACAAGGGUCACGGUUUUGGUGCACGCAUUUACACAAAAAAUACACUGCAAAGCGGAACUAUUGUUAGAUACGCAUGUUCUUUGGGGACACAUAAUAUGUGACACGCGUCCUAUUCGCUUUGGACUAAUGUCAAACUAGACGCAAAUUUUAAGCAUUUCUUUGUUUGCGUUGAUUACAAUGCUGGAGUGUGUGUGUGCUCGCAAACGCAGUAGAGAGAGAAAGAUAUAGUGUGUUCACUGUAGCACAAGAGAGAUCGAGACAGAGAAACAAUUUGUCCUCGAGUGUCACAAAUACAGUUCAGUAAGAGACCUUUACUUCAACUAAAUCACCAACGUUAUACUGUAUGCCACAGCCUGAGAGACAGCAGAAAUUCCAACCUUAGUGCAGUGUGUCAAGGAACUAAUAUCCUCAAUGAACAGAGAGAUCGAUACAGCAAGCACAAGCUCAGGGUCCUCCAGCUCAGCCCAAGAGAUGGUAUGUUAUUGUGUGUGUUUUGUGAAAUACUAAUCAUUCAAAACAAAAAUUUUAACUAGUAAUUGACUCUUCGCUAAGCUCCACCCUCCUUAGAUACUGUUGCUACGCCUGGCAAACUUUCAUGCCUGGCACGUCUAUUCGGUUGUUAAGUUGUGACGUAACCACUGCUGUUUCCGGGUCCUAAGGCCGUCGCCUUUCUACUGCUUUUGCAUGAGUUUUACUAUGGUUUUACCAUACAGCAGUGCUGCGUCCCGUGUUGUUUAAAUAGAUCCGAGUUUAAAAGAACAAGUGACAGUCAACAGUCAUUUUACUUUUCCCUGUGACGAGAAAGACAAGAGGAAAUGGCUGCAGUUGAUAACGCAAGUUACAAAUAUUAAACAAAGAAACUUUGGCGUCAGUUGGUGCUGCUAACACUCUAAAACCUGGCUGUCACAUAUUUAAUUUGUAAUCUUCGUUCAGUUACAUCCACAGUUAUAGCAGUUUUUUAAAAUACCUCAAGAACAUGGAUGCUAGCUUACUCACCUCAACCUCAUAAACCUUGUUUUUUCAUUGAUGCCUGGACUCUGUCCUUAAUUAUGCCACCUGCACUCUGUUGGAUUUAAAGUAGUUUAAAUCCUUUUUGACUGCCGAGGGUAACGUAAGAAGGACGUGAUCGUAAAUAAAUGUACAAGUUCCUCCACUGUUUUGGUGCGGUCGGAGAAGCGCUUGGACCCACGAGAGCCGCGUGACGUCAGACUUAACCGAAUAAGAGUGUGUAUGCAGGGGUUUCAUACAUUCUCAAGGAGAUAAUUAGUCAUUUUUGGCUAACUCUGAGAGAGCAAAACAAAAUGGACUGAAGUAUGCAUUCGAGGGAUAUAAUCACGACAUAAUAUGCAACCGAUUAGAGAAUAAUUUCAUCAAAAUUGAAGCUAAAGCUUUUAAGUCCCAGCACAAGCAGCAGUCGUCUCGUAUAUACACUGACCGUUCAAAUUUGAAACACACAGGAAAAGCUAUGUUUAUUCACAGCAGGGUAAGUGAAAUUAGAAAAUAAUCGAAUCAUUAUAAAUCAAACAGCUUAUCCAUAAGUAUUGUGGAAUAAACAAAACAUUAACGUUAGCCUGACCACUUUGCUAUGUUAAUAUUCUCCCGCUUAUAUUUUUAUCGUGCCAGGCUAACGUUACUGCUCACAUGUUGUGGGUCACAUAAAGGAGUACUGUUAAUAAUGAACUGAUUAAGUUUUAUAUCUACCUUUUCCUUGGAGAUCUCUUGCAAGCCCCAUGAGAGGAGUGCCGCGAUCGGGAACUGAUUGUGAUUGGCCGUCCAUUAACACAAUGAUUAACGAUUAUGAGACAUGCAUCAAGCGCAUGCUAACUCCUGUCCCGCCAGGUAGAUCACGUUACAAUUCAAUUGUGCUCAUCUACCACACACUCAAAUCAGUUCUGAAUGGAUCUCUUCCCCAAUCGUCCGUCCCCAACCUUUUCGUCUAGUUUUUAUUAGUUGACGAAAAUGUCAAUACAUUUUAGUCAUAGUCUUUGUCAUUUAAAAUUGGUUUUUAUUUAGUUAUCGUUCCUAUUUUCGUCAGUGAUAAAAUGCCGUUGACGAAUAAUUUUCAUCAUUAGUUUCGUCAACGAAAUUAACACUGAUUGGUUAACCCUGCAGUACGGAUGCACCAAAAUAAAAAAAAUUAGCAGAAGCCAAAGGUUGAAAUGUUUUUUUCCACUUUGUACAAAUUGUUUUUUCACCAUUUCAUAAAUUAAAGUUGAAUUAUUGCCUUAUCCAUUUUAUAGAACAACUUAAUACUUAGAUAUUUUUUUACUUUAUAGCAGACAUUAUUCAAAGCAAGCACAACUUAUAGGGGUCAUAUAAUGUCAUUUUUGUACAAGUUAACAUGAUUCAUUAGGGUCUAAAUUAAAUGUAUGUAAUACACUUUAAAAAUUCUCAUUAGUAUUGUAAGAAAACAUAUUCUCAUUUUACUUGGUCAAAAACAGCUCUGUUUUCAGCAUGCCAAUUCAGUGCAUAUGCCUUUAAUGCUAAUGAGCUUUGCUCACUCUGCCCCCUCUGUUCUGUGUGGGGUUUCAACAGUGCACAUGUAGUGUUGCCAUGACAACAGUUGAGUGUAUAUUGUGGAGAAAGAAUUGCAGCGGGAGUCUAUCAGAUUAUCUGUACAAACGUAUCAAUUUAAAAACGAAUUUGGACACCGAACAAGAUGACGAACCGAAGAAGUUCAACAAUUAAGGCUUAUACAAGACAUUUCUGAAUGGUUAGUUAACGUAACGUCACUUUGAUCUAUCUUUGUAUUAAGAGUUUAACGAUACGCGUAUUUGUAUUGAAUCGUUCUGUACAAGGCUUUCGGUUCGGUUCGCGGUACGGAUUAAAGAACCGAAUGGUUCGUUGGACCAUUUUUCCUACCAACAAACAUUUCAUUAUUUCAAAUGUUGGCACGUCGCGCCUGCAAGUGUGCUCAUAAUGU